rnacentral:rRNA from 1 species
GACGAACGCUGGCGGCGUGCCUACUACAUGCAAGUCGAGCGCGCGCUCAUUUAUGAGUGGCGAGCGGCGGACGGGUGAGUAACACGUGGGCAACCUACCCAAAAGACGGGGAUCACCCUUGGAAACGAGGGUCAAUACCGGAUAAGCCUCUUUGGUCGCAUGGCUAGAGAGGGAAAGGUGCUUUGCACUGUUUUUGGAAGGGCCCGCGGCGCAUUAGCUAGUUGGUGGGGUAAUGGCUCACCAAGGCUACGAUGCGUAACCGGCCUGAGAGGGUGGACGGUCACACUGGGACUGAGACACGGCCCAGACUCCUACGGGAGGCAG